rnacentral:tRNA from 1 species
GAGGGUAUAAUUCAGUGGGAGGGUAUAUGCUUAGCAUGCACGAGGUCCUGGGUUCAAUCCCCAGUACCUCCG